AACGAACGCUGGCGGCAGGCUUAACACAUGCAAGUCGAACGCCCGUAGCAAUACGGGAGUGGCGGACGGGUGAGUAACGCGUGGGAACGUGCCCUGAAGUACGGAAUAACUGCGGGAAACUGCAGCUAAUACCGUAUGAGCCCCGCAAGGGGGAAAGAUUUAUCGCCUUAGGAGCGGCCCGCGUCGGAUUAGCUAGUUGGUGAGGUAACGGCUUACCAAGGCUUCGAUCCGUAGCUGGUCUGAGAGGACGAUCAGCCACACUGGGACUGAGACACGGCCCAGACUCCUACGGGAGGCAGCAGUGGGGAAUCUUGCGCAAUGGGGGCAACCCUGACGCAGCCAUGCCGCGUGAAUGAUGAAGGCCUUAGGGUUGUAAAGUUCUUUUGCCCGUGACGAUGAUGACGGUAACGGGAGAAUAAGCUCCGGCUAACUUCGUGCCAGCCGCCGCCGUAAGAC
rnacentral:rRNA from 1 species